rnacentral:tRNA from 1 species
GUAUAAGUGCCAGAUUUAAUGGGUUGGUUUUAAGCAUCAAAUAUGGGGUUAAUCCCCCUUAUACU